rnacentral:lncRNA from 1 species
GUUAAAUGUGACAUCUUUGAGCUCAUUUAUCACAACGUGUCCCACUGUGGGGUUAAAUUUCAGCUGUCCCACGGAGGUGGCAGAAGGCUUUGCGCCCUGGGGAGGCCAGCGGCCACUGGUGAGGCCUCGUUUGGGGCGGUGGUGCUUUGCCCACAGGGGCCUUGCCAGCGGGGCUCCUGCAGAUAGGGACCUCAGGCCUCCAUGUCCACCAGCAUCACCAAACUCAGCGGCCCCGCAGCGCGGGAGGGGCAGAGCGCAGAGCAGCGCGCAGAGCAGCGCGCAGCGCCCGCCGCCCAUCCCGUGCCCGCACCGAGCACCGGCCCCGCUCCGCAGCUCCGCACGGCUCGUGGCGGCGCGGCACGGCGCGGCACGGCGCGGCACGGCACG